CCAGUCGGACCACGACCUACGCUUCCUUCUCCGCCGGGGUUGGCCUUGGCCGGCGUCCAAGCUCCGAGAGCACCAGAGUCUCCGGACCCCGAAGUCCCACCGCCGGGAGUGAAGCUGACGAGUGAGAUCCCGGCGCGCGGACCAGUCCGAGCGGGCGACGCAACCGCCGCGCGGAUGGCGGCGGCCGGGGCGCAGCUGCUGGGCGAGGACGGGCGCGGCUACGAGCUCGCGCGGCGGCUGGAGGCGUGCGGCGCGUGGCGCGCGUGGCUGGGCGAUGACGCCGCGCACGCCGCGCUCACGCAGCACCUCACGUCCCCGGCCACAUGGGACAACUUCCUCUCCCCCGCCGCCUCCCCUUCGCCGCCCCCGCGUCCGCUCCUCCUACUCCAGCUCCGCGUCCGCGCGCUCCUCUUCGACAAGGCCUCCGCUGCGCUCCAACUUGGCCCCCGCGGCGCGGGCCCUGCCGGUCUCCACUCCAUCAACGCCAACUAUCUUCAGCUUCAUGGAGAUGAUAUUUAUUUCUCUUUGGAAGAUGAGCAGGAAGAUAACACUCAACAUCAAGUGCAUUCUAGAACUGCGUUUAGUCCAAGCAGGGACAGUUCAAUGAUGUCUCAAAGGCAUAAUCGAUAUGACGAAUUACCUGACACGUGGUACAAACAAUAUGCUAACAAGUUCAGGACAUGGCACAGCACGCUUCGCUCAGGUGACAAAGAAAUACCAAAGAGAACACCAGAGGGAAUGUCGGACUAUCUUAAGGUUUGCAGUGUACAUAAAAGGAAGAGGGCCGUGUUUAUGGAUGAUCCUAGUGUAUCUGCUCCCAUGGUGGAAAAUGGUCCUUCCCUGCACUCAAAGAAUGCUGGGGAGCACAGCAAUUCAACCGAUGAAACUUUUAUUCCAGAAAUUAGAUUUUCAUCUGACUGUGUUCCAGAAAGUGCAAUUCCUAGAACAAGUGGAAUAUCUAUGACCAAUAAAAUAGAGGUUCAUGGGAUUCUUGAUAAUUUACCAGCACCAGUUAGCCGCAACACUGCAAUGCUUGAAAGGUUCGGCAUGGUGCCUGAAUAUUACAAGACAGGAAACAAAUAUAGAGGAAAAGAUGGAUCUAGAAUAGAAGGGAAAUCUUUAAGCCAGGAGCAAGCAUUGCUCAUGACAAGGAAGUUGGUUGCUCGCUACUUAGCAAAUUCAGACUUUGAAAGUGGAACUGCAGCCUCUAUUGAUGUUCUUUCAGAGAUAAUUAUUAAGCACAUAUGUAAACUGGGACGCAAUUUGAAGCUUCUAACUGAUAGCUACAGGAAGCAAUUUUCAUCGAUUGAACUCCUUAAGAUGUUCCUACAGACUGUUGGCUACAGUAACAUUGGACCCUUGAUGGAGAUCACAAAGACAGGAACUAGAACGGCCAACUACCCCAUUCAUCAGGAUGCACAAGUUCUCCAGUCGCAACAUCCAAAUUCCCUUCUUCAUGCACAGCAGAUUCCAAGGCAGUUUCCUGCGUCACUGCUUCAGAAUUUGACACCACAACAGCAGCAGCAGCUUCAGAAUUUGACACCACAGCAGCAGCAGCUUCUGCAGCAGCAGCAUUGGCUGAGGCGCAGUGGCCAAUUGACCAGCCCCCGUGGUCCUCUUACAAUGGCAGACAAGAACCAGCCUAUGGUGAAUGUGAAGAUCGAGAACACUAUGGAUUCUCAAAUAGAUAGCCCAUAUGGAUCUCUUACUAGACAGCAACAAUUUAACCUAAGGCAGCAGCAGCUACUGCAUCAUCAGAAACAGCAACUUCAGCAGCAGCAACUCCAACAGCAACAGCAGCAGCAACAGCUUAAUCAGCAGCAGCAGCACCUUAACCAGCAGCAGCAGCACCUACAACAGCAGCAACAGCAGCUUAACCAGCAGCAGCAACUGCAGCAGCAGCAGCACCUCAAUCAGCAGCAGCAGCAGUUACAACAGCAACAACACCUUCAACAGCAGCAGCAAAUUAACCACCACCAGCAGCAGCUUAACCAGCAACAGCAGCUUAAUCAGCAGCAAAUGGCCAUGUCAGCAAAUCAGAAUGCACAACUAGCACAGCAGUUCAAUCAGGUCCCAUCAAUGAGCGCAUACGGCAUGCGGAUGCCGCCUGUGAAAGUAGAAGCCUUCCACGAACUGGUGAGUGGGGACUCGUCGCUGAAGCAGGAUAACGAUCCAAACAAGCUCACUUCCCCAAAAUAACAGACCUCUUGUUGCAUAUAACAUGAGGGAACACACAUGGCCUGUGCAGGUGCGGUGUACAAAGGGAUUAGCGUUUGCGAUUUGUUGUUGCUCUCCGUUUAUUAUUUCCGGCACGAACCUCAUCUGAUUCGCCAGCUUGAUUGCAUACAGCAACAAGGCAGGCCGUGCACUGUAGAUGUAAGUCUAUACAUGUCGAUUCGCCACUGAGCCGUCCCCCCAGCCAUCGACGGCGCUUUCCAGACUUGUGGAGCACAGGAUUCGAAGCGUGCGCGAGUUUUUCUCCAGGUUCUGGAUCAUCCGGGACAAGCUAGCAGCCCUGCCCGGCUGCCCUGAAGGCUGAAGACGAUGGAUGGAUCAUGGAUGUCUCGACCCAUACCUCUCCGAUCACAUGAUUGUGACGAGGCGAAAGGGGACGGCUGCGGCUUGCGCGGCAGCCCGGGGAACUUGGUUUUCUCACGAAUGCACGUGUCGUCGCCCGUAAAAGACUGGAUUUGGGCGCGCCAACCUCUCUUUCCUGAGCGGGAGUCGUAUUCCGCCGGAGCAUCUGAACUACCGAAAGGUUAAGAGGCCUCCGGCCUCCGGGGCUUCUUUCUUUCCCGGAUCAUCUGCUUUAGCUCUUUUGCUUCUUCUGUGCAAGGUUGAAGGUUCUCUAUCCACCCAGUCACUUCACCUUUCGAAAAGCUACAUCCACCCAAUCACAAUGGCGAAGAAUCGAUCCCUACUCGUGCACUUCAUCGAACCAGCCAAGGACUCGACGGCAAAUAUACAAGCAAUCUGAUUCGGUAACAAGACAGGGACCACAGGCAGGCAGAAAUGAGAGAAGA